rnacentral:rRNA from 1 species
AUACGGAGGAUCCGAGCGUUAUCCGGAUUUAUUGGGUUUAAAGGGUGCGCAGGCGGCCAUUUAAGUCAGCGGUUAAAUCGUGGGGCUCAACCCCAUUCUGCCGUUGAUACUGGGUGGCUUGAUUGCGGCCGAGGUUGGCGGACUUCGUUGUGUAGCGGUGAAAUGCAUAGAUAUGACGAAGAACACCGAUUGCGUAGGCAGCUGACCAGACCGCAAAUGACGCUCAUGCACGAAAGUGCGGGGAUCGAACAGGAUUAGAUACCCUGGUAGUCCGCACAGUAAACGAUGAAUACUUGUUUUCGGCGAUAUAAUGUCGGAGGCAAAGCGAAAGCGAUAAGUAUUCCACCUGGGGAGUACGCCGGCAACGGUGAAACUCAAAGGAAUUGACGGGG